GAGUUAGGGUUCAAAUGAAUAGAACCGUGGUAGGCAAAGACCCGUUGAAGGACAAUCUCGCAAACGAAAUGGAGCGAACAUGUCUAAAUGAAUUACCUCGAAAAGUUACCGCUAGGUCUUCAUCUUCUCAGUUUCU
ensembl:ncRNA F12D9.11 ncRNA